CAGUACUGUGAGAAAACGUCAGUGCCGAGGAGGUCUGGGUGCUAAAACAAACUCUGGAGCUGCUUUUUUGUCGAACACCAGUGCGAAGGUUUACUCUUUCAGCUGCUGCAGCCUGGACAGAAACACCAGCUCUCACCUUACAAACCAAAUAGGUGUCACCACUUCGUCCAUGAUCACAGAGUCUUCAUACAAUGAAGAAGUUCUUUGAAACCAGGACAGAGGCCUCCAGGAUUCAAACUUUAACCAUUAAAUCACAAAGAGGAGACACAGACGUGAAGACAUUUCCAGAAGGUCCUCAGCUGAUGUUGUCUUCUCCUCCUGCAGAGACAAGAACAUGUGUUAAUCACAGAAACUGAUCAGUUAAUCUAUUUUUCCUUUCCUAAACUGACCUUAUUCAUUGUUGACAUCUAAUUACAGUGAUGUAAAAUAAACUUACAGUAACUUGUUCAGUAUCACAUAUUUUAAUGUGUUUUUCUAAUUAUUACAGUCACAGUAAUGACUAGAAAUAGUUCUGAAACUCUAAACAUGUACCAUGUAAUAAAUAUAGGAAAACAAUUUAAACUACUGUUAAUAAAAUGAAAUUUAUUUAUAAAUUAUUUAGCUAGGUUAACAAGUUAUUUUACUAAAAUUAUUUUCACUUUGCCUUUUUUGCAAUAUAUGCUAUUGUAUUUUUUAACAACAUAAUAUUCUGUGGCAUCAUUUAAUAACAGAAUGCACUGACAUUUUCAUUCACAUUUUUUGAUGCUUUACUAUACUAUGACAUUCAACUUAAGACAAAGGAACUUUGUUUUCCACAGACAAACACAUUCACACACACACCUCUACACACUGUUUCAAACAGUGCAAUGUCAGUGCUCAAAUCCAGUCUAUUACUGUGUACAUAGUCCUGUUUAUACUAUCCAUAUUGUUUGUAAUUUUUAUAUAGAAUAUAUUUAUGUGUAUAUUGUUUUUCUUCUCUUGUAUAUAUAAUGCUAUUUUUGUUGUUGCAACACAGAAUUUCCCCAUUGUGGGACUAAU